AUUGAACGCUGGCGGCAUGCUUUACACAUGCAAGUCGAACGGUAACAGGGAGCUUGCUCCGCUGACGAGUGGCGAACGGGUGAGUAAUGCAUCGGAACGUACCCAGUCGUGGGGGAUAACGUAGCGAAAGUUACGCUAAUACCGCAUACGUCCUGAGGGAGAAAGCGGGGGACCGUAAGGCCUCGCGCGAUUGGAGCGGCCGAUGUCGGAUUAGCUAGUUGGUGGGGUAAAGGCCUACCAAGGCGACGAUCCGUAGCGGGUCUGGGAGGAUGAUCCGCCACACUGGGACUGAGACACGGCCCAGACUCCUACGGGAGGCAGCAGUGGGGAAUUUUGGACAAUGGGGCAACCCUGAUCCAGCCAUGCCGCGUGCAGGAUGAAGGCCUUCGGGUUGUAAACUGCUUUUGUACGGUAACGAAAAGCUCUCUCUAAUACAGGGGUGAAUGACGGUACCGUAAGAAUAAGCACCGGCUAACUACGUG
rnacentral:rRNA from 1 species